GAACACAAAAUGGCGACACGUGGUUAGCAUUCGUCGCCAACGAGAAAUUGGGGUCGGCCCGAAAGCUCUAGAAUGCACCCCCCUUCUUCCCCGGGGCCUUCCACCUCCGCGAGUUUUAUGACUUAAAAAACCCCACAGGCUGGUCUGAAGGUCGGAGGCCUAAUUUUAACGCGUUUUCCUCCCUUUAAUUUGAAACGCGAACGCGAAUGGCUGUAAAAUGUGGGCACAAUAUUUAAUUUCUCGCCUUUUUAAAGCUUAAUAGUGGAUAAUAGGGGGCAGUAUCAAGGGAUAAUUUGGGUCCCCACAGUACCAAAGCAUUUAGAAACCUCUGUUUAAUUUAAGGAAUGAGAUAAAUUACUGCUUUUCUAGACUUCCUAGCAUGGGCUGUUGUGCUGGAGAGAACGAGAGCUACGAAGAGACUACAAUGCCUCUGACUUUUUCAUAGGACAGUUGGCCGAGGAAGACAAACAUAAAGAUGAAGUGCUUAAUUCAAGGUCACACAAUGUCGGGGAUGGACCUCCAGAUUUCCUUACUGGAAAACAAGCUCAGGGCUCCCACUGAUUGUACAUUAUGGUGAGACGUGGUCUUGUAACACAGUGGUUAAGAAUGUGACUUUGGAGCCAGCCUGCUAGGGGCUGAAUUCUGACUCAGCCAUUUACUAACUGUGUGACCUUAGGUCACAGAAUUUUCCACACUCCUUGACGGAGGUGCUUAACCCUUAUCCAUCAGCAUUCUCAGACAGCACCUCCGGUUAGGGACAGUAUCUGACCGUCCGACAUCCCUGCAGCCCCCAUGUGUCACACAGACUCAGCCUCAGGUAGAUGGUUUCCGUAGAUGGUGGCUUUCUUUGGACCCUUGACAUCAACCAGUUACUAUUUG
rnacentral:antisense_RNA from 1 species